UGGAUAAAGGUGGCUGUUACCACCGAAACGGAUUCGUUGACUGAUGGUUGCUCUAAAUUGCACAUUUUGAAGGAAUGGUUGUAUCCUGCUCCGUGCCUUGAACGCCUGACUUUCGCUGUGUUGGAGAUGCUGUAACAGUGGAGACUCUGAGGUAUGAGCACAGGUGGAACGCAGACCAGAGCUCCUGGAACACAAGUGAGGUGGUUACCGGGGCAACAGCCGUGACAUCCGCCGGAAGUGCGUCAUCUAUGGUGGACUCUGACUGUCAGUUCCCGGUGCGGCGGACUGUGGACGGAGUGGACAUGUGUAUAGGGGUAUUUAAAGGGAUGUUUAAUGCAGCCAGUGAGAGCCUUCUGUAACAGUGUAUUGUGAACUGGAUGACAGACUCACCGGAUUGCAGAUAGCUGUGUGUCCAAAGACAUUUGCGCAGAUAUCAUAGUAUUGCCACUCGAUCCGGACAGCCCCACUCUUUUUACGGUUGUUGUCAUGCACCUUCAAGAACUGCUUCUUUAGAGUCUUCGUUUUAUUAACAACUUGCUGUUGUGUACGGAUAAUUCCUCUGGCUUCAAGCAGCUUUGCAAUGUUUUUAUAAAU